AGCCGCCGCCGCCCCGGCGCAACUCAUUGCCGGAACUAAAAAAAGCAACCACUUCGUUGAACGGAACUGGCCAAUAGUGCCCUUGGCUCGGACUGAUGACGCACAGCAGACGCUGGAUUGCAGUGGGGAGACCUUGGCUCACUGGAACCUCUGCCUCCCGGGUUCAAGCGAUUCUCCUGCCUCAGCCUCCCAAGUAGAUGGGAUUACAGGAAAAAGCAAAGAGGAACUUUACAAACUAUUACAGUUUUCCAUCAUCACUUGACUGCUGACAAGAAGCCUCUUUGAAUUCCAGUAUACACGAUCACAUUUUAAAACCUUCAAGACGCCGUUUAAUCAGGAGUUGUAAGGCACAUUUGUUAGAGAGAGCUGCACUUUAAAAGUUAUACAGACAUCACCUGAAGUUAUUAAAGUUAUCAAAACAUAUUAAAAACCUUCAAGUAAGAGGCUACUCCCCAGGAAACGUGUGGAGCCAGUGAACGGAAGAAAAACAAUGGAAGGAAGGCUUGAAAAGUCCAUUACAAAACUACAGUCCUUUGAAAAAGAUUUCAAAGAUAUUAAAAUGAAAACUGAUUACAUUAAACAAUAA
rnacentral:lncRNA from 10 species